rnacentral:rRNA from 1 species
CCUACGGGAGGCUGCAGUGGGGAAUAUUGGACAAUGGGGGCAACCCUGAUCCAGCCAUGCCGCGUGUGUGAAGAAGGCCCUCGGGUUGUAAAGCACUUUCAGUGAGGAAGAACGCCUGGUGGUUAAUACCCAUCAGGAAAGACAUCACUCACAGAAGAAGCACCGGCUAACUCCGUGCCAGCAGCCGCGGUAAUACGGAGGGUGCGAGCGUUAAUCGGAAUUACUGGGCGUAAAGCGCGCGUAGGUGGCUUGAUAAGCCGGUUGUGAAAGCCCCGGGCUCAACCUGGGAACGGCAUCCGGAACUGUCAAGCUAGAGUGCAGGAGAGGAAGGUAGAAUUCCCGGUGUAGCGAUGAAAUGCGUAGAGAUCGGGAGGAAUACCAGUGGCGAAGGCGGCCUUCUGGACUGACACUGACACUGAGGUGCGAAAGCGUGGGUAGCAAACAGGAUUAGAUACCCUAGUAGUC